GACGAACGCUGGCGGCGUGCUUAACACAUGCAAGUCGAACGGAAAGACCCUGCUUUUGUGGGGUGCUCGAGUGGCGAACGGGUGAGUAACACGUGAGUAACCUGCCAUUGACUUUGGGAUAACUUCAGGAAACUGGGGCUAAUACCGGAUAGGAGCUCCUGCUGCAUGGUGGGGGUUGGAAAGUUUCGGUGGUUGGGGAUGGACUCGCGGCUUAUCAGCUUGUUGGUGGGGUAGUGGCUUACCAAGGCUUUGACGGGUAGCCGGCCUGAGAGGGUGACCGGCCACAUGGGGACUGGGAUACGGCCCAGACUCCUACGGGAGGCAGCAGUGGGAAAUAUUGCACAAUGGGCGGAAGCCGGAUGCAGCAACGCCGCGUGCGGGAUGACGGCCUUCGGGUUGUAAACCGCUUUCGCCUGUGACGAAGCGUGAGUGACGGUAAUGGGUAAAGAAGCACCGGCUAACUACGUG
rnacentral:rRNA from 1 species